rnacentral:rRNA from 1 species
UACGAAGGUGGCAAGCGUUGUUCGGAUUCACUGGGCGUACAGGGAGCGUAGGCGGUUGGGUAAGCCCUCCGUGAAAUCUCCGGGCCUAACCCGGAAAGUGCAGAGGGGACUGCUCAGCUAGAGGAUGGGAGAGGAGCGCGGAAUUCCCGGUGUAGCGGUGAAAUGCGUAGAUAUCUGGGGGAACAUCAGUGGCGAAGGCGGCUUCCUGGACCAACACUGACGCUGAGGCGCGAAAGCGUGGGGAGCAAACAGGAUUAGAUA